GCCUGAGUGGCUCAGUCGGUUGAGCAUCCGACUUCGGCUCAGGUCAUGAUCUCAUGAUUCGUGAGUUCGAGCCCCACGUCAGGCU
rnacentral:tRNA from 1 species